rnacentral:tRNA from 1 species
ACGCGGGGUGGAGCAGUUUGGUAGCUCGUCGGGCUCAUAACCCGAAGGUCGUUGGUUCAAAUCCAGCCCCCGCU